GACGAACGCUGGCGGCGUGCCUAAUACAUGCAAGUCGAGCGCAGGAAAUCGACGGAACCCUUCGGGGGGAAGUCGACGGAAUGAGCGGCGGACGGGUGAGUAACACGUAAAGAACCUGCCCUCAGGUCUGGGAUAACCACGAGAAAUCGGGGCUAAUACCGGAUGGGUCAUCGGACCGCAUGGUCCGAGGAUGAAAGGCGCUCCGGCGUCGCCUGGGGAUGGCUUUGCGGUGCAUUAGCUAGUUGGUGGGGUAAUGGCCCACCAAGGCGACGAUGAAUAGCCGACCUGAGAGGGUGAUCGGCCACACUGGGUCUGAGACACGGCCCAGACUCCUACGGGAGGCAGCAGUAGGGAAUCUUCCACAAUGGACGAAAGUCUGAUGGAGCAACGCCGCGUGAACGAUGAAGGCCUUCGGGUCGUAAAGUUCUGUUGUAAGGGAAGAACAAGUGCCGCAGGCAAUGGCGGCACCUUGACGGUACCUUGCGAGAAAGCCACGGCUAACUACGUGCCAGCCGCCGCAGUAAAAC
rnacentral:rRNA from 1 species